AUUGAACGCUGGCGGCAGGCCUAACACAUGCAAGUCGAGCGAGCGGCGGACGGGUGAGUAAUGCCUGGGAAUUGCCCAGUCGAGGGGGAUAACAGUUGGAAACGACUGCUAAUACCGCAUACGAUGGGAUUGCCCAGGUGGGAUUAGCUAGUUGGUGGGGUAAUGGCUCACCAAGGCGACGAGCCCUAGGUGGUCUGAGAGGAUGAUCAGACACACUUGGACUGAGACACUGUCCAGACUCCUCCGGGCGGCAGGCGUGGGGAAUAUUGCACAAUGGGGGAAACCCUGAUGCAGCAAUGCCGCGUGUGUGAAGAAGGCCUUCGGGUUGUAAAGCACUUUCAGCGAGGAGGCGUUACUCGCAGAAGAAGCACCGGCUAACUCCGUGCCAGCAGCCGCGGUAAUUC
rnacentral:rRNA from 1 species